AAAGAGAAAUUGCUCUUUUAUUUAAUUGGAAAAGUUUAUGAAAGGCAGGAGGUUCUGAGAGCUCUCCACAAAGGGAAAGGAAGCCUCUUUGCAAACAAAGAAUAAUGAUUUGCUUCAGCUCUAGAGAAAUGUAUGAAGGACGGGAGGAAAAGAGUUGAGAUUCAGAGUAAGAGUGUGAUUCCGUUACCUGAAGAGGCGACAGAACAGGAGGAAACUGGACAAUCUGCGCUACAUAAUGUUCAAGUGUACAGAAAAAGGAAGCUGAGAUUGAGACACUGGAGUGUGAUGAAUGAACCCCAGAGAUUGAUGUCCUAAACAUAGCCCAGUCUGCAUCUCCCACAUGAAGGAACCCAGGGAAUGGUCAUGUUUCCAUAUAUCCCCACUUGAGGGACAUGAGAUGGGUGGGUUUCCACAAGGAUCAGCUGGAGGAGUUUCACAUCCAUCUGGCAAAGCUGCAUGAAGAUAAGCCUCGUGUUUUCCAGGUAACUGCAUUGCUCUACAGUGGCAAUGCUGAAUUAUUUUAUUUCCUCCCAUCAACCUCUCUCUGAAAAUUUGCGGAUACAGGUUAAAUGUCUCUUAACCAAA